rnacentral:ncRNA from 1 species
UUAACUACGAUGACAGAGAAGAGUAAGUAAGCAGGAGAUUUUUAGCGAGUCAGGGGCGGUGAAAGCCUGAUAAUCGAAAGCUUAUUGAAGAUCAUCUCUUAGUAGUCAAUCUGAAAAAAUAUUCAAGUAGGAUUGACCGGUUGACAGCCGUUAUCUGUUUUAGAGAUAGAGAUAUUAAUUGUUAGGAGUAAUAUUAGCAAAUUAAUAUUUCUAAAAUAGGGUGGUAUCGUGAGGUAAAAAACCUUGCCCCUGAC